CUUUCCUUCCUUCUUUCUCUCUUUCUUUUUUCUUUCUUUCUAACAAAACAAGGAGAAAAAUCAAUACAGUUUCUCAUCUUUAUCCAUAUGGAAAUGAUUUAUGUUUUUGGAAGUUUAUAAUUUUGAGAGAAAGCCUAUCCUGGGGCAAAUAGUAAUCCUGCCAAUCAGAAUACCAAGGAUCCUGAGAGGGACUCAGGUCUUUUCUACUAAUCUCUGAAUCACUUAGCCUCUAUUUCGUCAUAAGGAAUGUAACCACUUUAUGAAAAUAAUACAGAUUAACCAAGCCAUAGCUCUAGAAACCAGACUCCACAGGUUGCUGGGCCUCACUAGCUGUCUGAGAGCUUUAGGGCUGCCUUAGGAGAUAAUCGUGUCUUCCCAAGAAAGCUGAGUCCCUGGCCAAUGCAUGAACCAUUCUCAGACUCCAGCAAGGGUUGUUUUACACUUAGUGAAUCUAAUUACUUAGUAGAAUGAAUCUGUAAUUAAUUUUAAAAACAUAGCAAGCAUUGUUAUCUUGAGCUGAACAAAAUAGUAGCUUCAGCUUUCUAUAUAUAUAUUACAUUUAUUUCAAUAGUUAAUGCUUUUCCAAUCAAUGAAUGUUAAACAGGAUAGGAGGUUUUCAUUUCUUGAAAGAGUUUGUGCCAGUUUCUUCCAGACAAGGAAAGGCAACAUGGGAGGUAGGGCAGAGAAGUUGAUAAAUGGAAAACAUGUACACAGGGAAAUAUGCAAGAAGAAAUGUACAGAACCCCACAAUCACAUGCUGGCAGUAAAGGGGAAAAAUGUCCUUUUGUAAUGAAAUAUGAGAAACAGGAGAAAAUGGGAGGCUAAAAGGAAAAGAAUAAAAAAAUUAUGUCAGGGUACAGAACUAGGACCUGAAUUACACUCCAGAGGCAGACUCAGAUAGAAUGCUAAUAAAUUGCUCAACUAGAUAUUCCCAUAGUUAAGAAGUCCAAUGAGCCAAAUUAAAUAGAGGUCAAUCAGUGACGGCCUUCACUUUGUUUGGGAACAGGCUCUUGUAAAUAGGCCACAAUACAUUUUAUUUAUGCUUUUUUUCCCCAAACAUGAAACAUGUAAUCUCAGGAAAUAUAGAUUACUGUUUGGUUUCAAGCUCUGAUUGGACAUAGUUGUUGCAUAUGGGUGGGGGUCAGAUGGAGUGAGGUAGAAAAUUACUAUUUAGCACUGGCACCCAGAAAGAUGGGCCAUAAUUCAGAAGUGCUCCAAAUUACACCUAUCUAUAGAAGACUUCCCGCCUUUUUGAGGUGGUGGAAUAUGAACAGCAGUGCUUCCUGUGGUUUCUGAUUUCUUCCUUCAUGACACCUUUUCAGUGUUUGGUACAAGGUGCAUGUAUCAGGGUUUAAUAAGAAGGAGACACAGUGAUAUAGAAUGAGCGGUUUAUUCCAGGGAUUAGACCUCAUACAAGUGUGGGAUGUGAUGAAGUCAAUGGGAGUGUGUUGCAUCUGUCUGAUAACAGGCUGAAUUCUCUGGGUCAGCACGGCCAUCAGUAACAAAAGCUGGAUAUGAACUAGAGGAGAACAAAAAAGAAAUGGAAUUAGGAGGAAAAACUGGAACCCGUAUCAGCCUUUUACCAACCUCAAUGUGGAUGGCUUCCAGAGGGAUCGAGUGCUCUCUGCCAUAGAGCUGAAGACCUACCUAGCAUAGAACUUGGCAAAACUGAAGACAGAGCUUUGGGAACUUCAAUCACAGCUGCUUCACUAAGUGCAGGUGAGUCACCACAUCACGGAAAAGAUGUGCUUGCAAUCAUAGAGUUUGGUGCCCCCUUCAAAAGCCUGCUUCUUCAAUUCUGCUUUUCCAACCUCGUGCAAAUUUCCCUUAAGGCUAACCUUAACUCAGUGUGAAUCAGGAGAGGGAAUUCUGGAAAAUACAGUUCCCGAUUUAGCUAAGUUGAUACGGUAGAAAACUAUCAUAAUCCAUCCCUUGCCAACUUGGCAUCCAUGUCCACGUCUCUUAACUAAAGGUAACUUCCAAAUGAAGACAUUAGCAAAAUGAUGCUUCUACCAAAUAGGAUGCAACUAUCAGUUCUACAGAUGAAAAAACACUGAAAACAAAAGACGGCCAGGCGCAGUGGUCAUGCCUGUAAUCCCAGCACUUUGGGAGGCUGAGGUGGGUGGAUCACUUGAGGUCAGACGUUCAAGACCAGCCUGGCCAACAUGAUGAACCUGUCUCUACCAAAAACACAAAAAUUAGCUUGGCAUAGUGGUGCAUGCUCUAUGAUUCCCCUAUCAGGUUAGUGGCUUCAUGUAGAUUCCUGCAUAAUAGAGGAAUUACAUACCUGUAAUUCCAGCUACUCUAAUCACUCGAACCCAGGAGGCAGAGACUGCAGUGAGCCAAGAUUGCACCACUACUCGCCACCCUGGUUGAUAGAGUCAGACAAUGCCACAAAAAAAAAAAAAAAAAAAGAGGAGACAUAGCCUCAUAGGUUACUUUGUCCAUUUUGGGGACGAUGUGCAGUCCUUUUUUAGCUGAGAUCCACUUUCCCUUCGAUGUCAUGUACUUUAAAUAUAUUGAGAUAUAAGGAUGUUAUGGGUUGAAUUGUGUCUGUUAAAAAGCCAUGUUGAAGUGCUAAACCCUGGACCUUGUAAAUAUGAUCUUAUUUGGAAAUAGGUUCUUUGCGGAUAUAAUCAAGAAGAAGUCAUAUUGGAUUAUGGUGGGCUCUAAUUCAGUGACUGGUGUACUUAGGAGGGGAAUUUGAAGACAGACACAAAGAAUGUCAAGUAACAAUGCAGGCAGAGAUUGGACAAAGAAACAUCAAAGAUUACCAGCAACCAUCAGAGGCUACAAGAGAGUCAUUGAGCAGAUUCUCCCUCAGGGCCUCUAAAAAGGAAUUGACUCUGCCAUCACCUUGAUUUUGGACUUUUAGCAUACAGACUGCAGUAAAAUUAAUUUCCAUUGUUUUAAGCCACCCAAUUUGUGCUACUUUGUUAUAGCAGCCCUAGGGAACUAAUACAAAAACUAACUAUAGUUACCCCAUUUUAUAUUAGAUGGUGGAUGGGAGAGAAAAAAAGAAUUGAUUAAUAUAUGAUGAAAUACAUUUCUAUUAAGAAAUAUUUAUAAUCCUUUCCUUCCUAAUUUCUAUAACUGAUCUUGUAGUCAUAGCUGGUAUUUAUAACUUCCUUCUUUCACUACUCAUUCCAUAUACUUGUGUCCUCAGCAAGCACAUUGCCUAGUCAUGGUUUCUUGCCUAUUGGGGUGAUCUCAAUUUUCAUUUUUGACGGAUUCAGUCUUUUGCAGUUGAGCCCUAAUUGGGUUAUUUUCCGCCUACUUUGCUUGUUACAGUAACAAAAGUAAUUACAAGACUUGAAGGUAUAAGAUAUGACCUUGAGUUCCAGGCACACUUUUUCUUACUCCUACAAGCUAGUAGUAAUCCAAUUUCCCUUUGAUAGUCACAGUCAUCCCAGCCCAUACAUUAAUAUCUUACUUUUCUUAUUGAUUCUUUAGCAUGAGGAUCCCAAAGCCGCCUGCAGGGAAUAUCAACUUCUGUCUUGAUGGAAUCAUAGCUGUAUCUCCUAUUAGAAGCAUCUCUCCCUUGGAAACCAGAACUUCUAGACCAACAGAGUCUAAAGUUGAGAAUAGAAAGAAUAAAUUUUGCUGUUGAUCACUAUGGGUAACAGUGAGAGGAGUCCGUUCCAUCUUCACCCCUGGAUUCCUGAAUCUAUGAAAUCUGGAUAAGGGAGAAACAGCAAUAUGCAUUGAUGGAUCAUUUAGAGAAUUUACUGCAUCUUUCAGGACAUUAUCCUAGCCCUGCAAAGUGUUUUCAUCCAUCUAGCACAGUAAAUAAAUUGUUAAAAGAAGAAUUCCACCUUUCUACUGCUUUACAGUGAUGGAUAACAAGUUAAGACUAAUGAAUUCCACGAUCAUGAGUCUGCUAUUCUUUAUUUGCUGCAAAGUAAGUUCCUUGGUCAAAAGCAAAGCAUUGUGGAAUACCAUGAUGGGAAAUAAGAUAUAAGAAUUCUGUACGUCCAUAGAUGCUGAUUUUGGCAAAGGUAUUACAGAUAGGGAAGACAAAUCCCUAUGAAGAGUAAGUUUUUUAUGGAGCAAGAACAAAAUACUGCCCUUUCAUGCCUUGUGAGCAGAAGUUCAUGUUGCUGAACUCACGCAUACCCUCCAUGUCUACCGCCAUGGCUAUUUUGUUCAUGCACCUAUUGGUCAAGGACAGAAGAAACUGAAGAGAAAAAUCUGAUAGAGGCAGGUUCAAUAAGGAAAGCUCAUCUCUGAUAAACUCAUGAAGAUAAGACAUAUCAUCUGGGAAGGCUUGGCUGGGGCUGGAGAACCUACUGCCAAGAUAGCUCUCUCAAAUGACUGGUAAGUGCUUCUUACAGUUGACUUGGAACUCAUCCAAGGUUAUCCACUGGAUACCUUGGCUCCUCUCCACAUGGACCUCUCCAUGGGGAUGCUUGGGCUUCCUGAAAACAUGGCAGCUAGUUUCUAAGAACAAGUAUUCCAGAAGGCAUGGAUAAAAGUUGUAAGUAUUCUAAAUCACUUAAAAUCUGAAGUACUGGAUCACUUCUGCCAAAUUCCAUUUAUUAAGUGAAUCAGUAAUGCAAGCCCAGAUCUAAGGGCUGGGAAAUUAGACUUCACUUCUCAGUGCAUAGAGUAGCAAAGGACUUGUGGCCCCAUCUUUAAUCCAUGAUAGUUCACUUUGCACAACAAAGCCAAAACUAGGAGACUGGCAAAUGUUACUACCCUCAGAGGAGAGUUUUUUAGGAAAAUAAUAUCAAAUUUCACAGUUCUACGAAACCACUGGGGGCUCUACUGAGCAGUAUUUCAAAUAGAUUAUACUCUACCAAGUGAGCAAGAGAAGUUAGAGAGGUAGAGAAAAAGGCCCAAAGAAAAGAAUAGAACGCAAGUAUUUAUUCAUUAGUACUUGUUCCUUAUGUAUGUCAAUUCCAAGAAAGUCAUCAGAAAGACAGUUCCUUUCUGCUAAUCUGGACAUGAGUGUCUGGGAUUCUCUUAAAAGUGAUCUUCUCAAUGCCAGGCAGCACUGGACCUUAGCAUUUAUCUAUUUAUUUGUUCAUUCAACAAACAUGUGUUUCAUUUAUAUCUUUCACUUUAUAUUCUUGCCCAAACUAUGGCAAGUGUUUAUUGAGAAGACUCUACCCUUGAGGAGCCCACAGCCUUCCAUGUAUCUAUUUAGACUAUAGGUUAAAGAUGUACCUGGUCUUCCCUAUAACACCUAGGUCAGUGUCUUGCUUAUAGUAUUGAUCAGUAUUUUGUUACUGAGUGAUCAGAGCAUUUUUAUUCCGUUGGCUUUUGACAUCUAAAAUACUUGUUGGCUUAUAAAACCCCAGAAUAUUUAACAAUCAGCUCUCAUAAGCUGGCAUGUGGGAUAGUAUCAAAAAGCUCUCUUCUGAGGUAGAGCUUUAUCUCCUUACGAGGAUAAGGCUGUCACAGCAGACAGUGCCUCAAGGAUCUUUUUUUUUUUUUUUUUUUU